GCCCACUUGGCUAAGUGGUUGACGGCGCAUCACUUGUAUAACACAUUGCAAUGAUGAGAUCACUCGUUCAAAUCGGGUAGUGGGCA